UUUUGAACAAAGACUUAAAAAAAACUUAAAUAUUGAAGCCUUAAAUACCGACAGGCAGAAAAUUUAAAGUUGGGGAGAAAGCUCAAUACCAAAGACUGAAAAGGGGCAGAGUUUGGGAACCUAAGCCGACAGCAUGGGGUGGUGGCGUCGGAGCUCCGGAACUUGCGAUCUUACACCGAUGGCGACGCGAUUUCCACGAGGGUGAAGGACAGUCGAGAUGAAGGACAUAAGACAUGAUCCUCUGUUUCACGAUGAGUUCGCGACCUGGAGAGGGUGAAAACCUGAGAGAAAGAGAAGGCCGACGGCAACGAAGAUCCCAAGGCGACAACUAGGCUGUGAUGAAGGUUGCACGAUCUGUUUUCACAAUGAAGCAAUUUCUGUUGCAGCAGCGGCGUGACGGCGAUGUGAGUGUUGACGACGGUGGCUUGGUGAGAUGAAGACGAUGACAGUGCUAUCCAAGACUAUGCAAGGCCAACCGUUCCACAAUCUGUGUGCAAUCGACGCACUUUCUACUGGUGAAGGGGCGCGAUUCAAACGGGAGGAAAAUUCCUAAGGUCGACUUUGAAUUCCAACUCGGCAAGGAAGGUGGAAAAAUUCUUGGAAGAAAAAUUGAAAGGUAAAUAAAAAAAAAUUUCUACCUAAUUAAAUUUGAAAUUUUCUAAACUAAUUCUAUCAAAUGCCCUUAUUACAUAAUUAUCCUAAUCCUCUUCAUAAUUAUAAAAAUAUUGGGUAUAACCUUUCCUAAUUACAUUCUUCCACUUACUAAGAAAUAAUCUAUUAUUGUUAAAUAUAGAAGGUGAAGUGGCUAAAAUUCUUUCAUAAAGCCGGAUAGAUUGCUCCUCAAUAUAUAUUUUUCAUUUUUGUUAAUAUGUUGUAUAUUUUUUUGCUACGGCAAGUUAGGGCCUUCCUAUGAAGUAAUGCAAGAGAUUUUGUUGUAGAUACAUGAGCAACUUUAGUUUAAGCUUAUAUAUAUUGUCUUUUGGUUGCAUAUUAUUAUGUAAGUUUCUUCUUUUAAAAAUGGUAAAAAUAAAAAUAUAUUCAUUUGGUUCCUUAGCUAUUGGGUAAUCUAACUAGCUUGAAAAUAAGGUUUUGUUCAAUUAAGAGUAACUUAAAAGAGAUGAAUAAUCCCUAAAUUUGUAAAUUUAACCCCAUAUUUUUUCUUGAAAAAUAAUCUAUUUCGUGAUAUAAACACCUUUCAUCCUUUUAAUUAUUUACAUGUAAAUUUUAAAAGAAUAGACCAUUUUUGCAAGAAAAUUUUGAAAACAUUUUUACUAAAAAGAAAAAAAAUGAAGGAUUAAAUUUCCAAAUUUGGAUUUUCAAUGUUAAGAAAUACUUACAACUUUUCUUUUAAUUUUUUGCAUAACUUAGAUCAUGUGAUUUUAAAUUAGCUUUCAAAAAAGUUUUCUUUUCAAUUCAACAGAAUGGUUAACCAAUUUUUCAAAAACUUUUAGCCGAUGCUUGGUUCGAAAGUUCUAAGGAAAAAAAUAUAUAUAUAUUUUUUUCAUAGAAAAUAUGAAAAGAAAUCAAAUACUAUUAAAAAUAAUUAAAAAUUUAUAUAAAAUAUAAGUAAAAUAAACUUAAAGCAACAUAUAAAAAUAAUUUAUUAAUUUUAAAUUUAUUUUUUAUUUUCUUUCAUUUUUUUCUUUUUUUUCAUACUUUUCCUCUAUUUUUUCUUACACUUUCUCUCAAAUUAUCCAAAACCAAACAUGCACCAAACAUAUUCUUAAGACCUUGAAUAUUUUCCAAAAGCAAACAUAUAGUUAAAAUUUCAAGGUACAAUCUGGGUAGUUGUAGAUGGUAUGACUUUACCAUGUUAUUUUUAUUUACCAGCUCUAUUUGGAUAUUAGGAAUUGAAAUUUAAAUUUAGAUUAACUUCUCUCGGCUGUAAUUUUAAUUUUGGGAGUUUCGAACCAUGUGGUAAAAGUGCAUGACCAUUUAAGUUCCCAAAUGAUACGCAUGAAAAAGGAAAAUCUUUUUUCUAAUAUGUUUUAUUUUUCCCGUUAUUCAACAGACGAACACAGCAUCGACUGACGAACAGAGCAAUAUUCCAAAAAGGGGACUGCGAAAGGAGUGCUUGGAAGACAACGGAUCUAGAAGGCGUUACAUAAAGGUGGAAAAACAUCUGAAAGAUCUCUAAAUUGCACUAGAAUCAAGUGCUUUGCUACAGCUGUAAUAACAUCGACACCAGGAGCAAAAUGC
rnacentral:lncRNA from 1 species